rnacentral:rRNA from 1 species
AGCAGCCGCGGUAAUUCCAGCUCCAAUAGCGUAUAUUAAAGUUGUUGCAGUUAAAAAGCUCGUAGUUGAAUUUUGGAUUCUGCCAGUUGGUCCAUCUUUUGAUGAGUACUGAUUGUGUGGGAUCUAUCCGCCUGGUAAUACGUAAUGUACUUUAUUGUAUGUUAUGGGUAGCCAGGACCUUUACCUUGAAAAAAUUAGAGUGUUUAAAGCAGGCUUAUGCCGGAAUACAUUAGCAUGGAAUAAUAGAAUAGGACGAUGUUGUUUUAUUUUGUUGGUUUCUAGGACAACCGUAAUGAUUAAUAGGGAUAGUUGGGGGCAUUAGUAUUCAAUUGUCAGAGGUGAAAUUCUUGGAUUUAUUGAAGACUAACUACUGCGAAAGCAUUUGCCAAGGAUGUUUUCAUUAAUCAAGAACGAAAGUUAGGGGAUCGAAGACGAUCAGAUACCGUCGUAGUCUUAACCAUAAACUAUGCCGACUAGGGAUCGGGCGAUGUUGUUUCCAUGACUCGCUCGGCACCUU